ensembl:snRNA U1 U1 spliceosomal RNA
AUACUUACCUGGCUGGGGAGAUACCACGAUCACGAAGGUGGUUUUCCCAGGGCGAGACCUACGCUUUGCACUCCGCGUGUGUUGACCUCUGCGAUUUCCCCAAAUGUGGGAAACUCGACUGCACAAUCUGUGGUAGUGGGGGACUGCGUUCGCGCUCUCCCCCU